AUGAGGAAUUUGCACAAGCUUGUUAAGAAGAAGCAUGUCAUUGGCAUCGAGAAUGUAAAAUUCCUUAAGGAUCACCUAUGCGGAGCCUGUGAAGCUGGGAAGAUGACGAAGGACAAGCAUCCAGCGAAGACUAUCAUGACCACCACUCGCCCAUUUGAAUUGCUUCACAUGGAUCUAUUUGGUCCUAAUCAUUAUUCUGCUAUUUCGAAUAAAGCAUCUCAAUAUGGCUUUGUUAUUGUUGAUGAUUACUCUCGUUACACAUGGGUACACCUUGUUACUUACAAACAUGAAGUGCAGGAAGUCUUCAAAUGA
rnacentral:rRNA from 1 species